GCCAAAAUAGUCCCAAGAAAGAAUAUAGUUUGUCUGCAUGUGUCAUCAAUACCAUUUGCCAAGUGCAUGAGCCAAGAUCAGAAUCCUGGAUAGCUUCAGUUAACUGAAUAGUUUGUCAGCAAAGUGUAAACACAAGCCAUUUACUAAAAAUUGUUUUACAUAUUACUUACUAUACCAAGCCAUCUUGUAAAUGCAAACUAUUACUCCACUUCAGAGAAUAUCAAAUCAGGUGUUGCCAACUCCCUUUUUCUUAGAGUUUCUUUGUUUCUGCACCUUCAUAGUUCUUACAGCCUACCAGGCACAUUUUUAGCAGGUGACCCUUUGAGUAGAGUUUCACCUGCUUUCUUUCUCCCUCUCAGACAAAAAUUAAGUGAAACAGACAGUUUCUAAUUCCAGAAAAUUAUGAUGAAUAAACAAAUUAGAGCGGGUCAAUGAAGUGCUUAUAUACAGUUGUCAAAUGCAUUGAAAAAGUGUAUGAAGACUUUCAGCUCAAUCCUAUUUACAUAAGGAGUGCUGCAACUAGGAAGAAAGGGAGAAGCUAUCUCAUAUCUUUUCAGAUCCCGCUACUUAAGCUGGAAUACACAACACUUGAGCUGGCGACUGAGGAGAUGAUGCCCCUCCCCACCAGUUUCUCUUAACCGUGGUCUUUAGGAAUUGCUGCACAACAGGAUUUAUUUCCAACAAUCAAUGCCCCACCGAUGUAAUGUACUUGUAGAGUCAUUGAAACCCACCUCAGCCAUUCUGAUGGAAAACUGGAGGAGGAUGAAUUGAAGAAGCACCAGGCUAGGUCCCUUCUGAGGACCCUGGUAGACACCUGAUAAAGUAUCCUGCACCUUAGGUUUCCAUUGGCAUAUUCAGGACUGCAGUUGCCUUUCUCAGAGCUGCUGCACAGCCUCUUCAAAAGGUUAAUCCAUAAGAGGACCACCUGUUCUUGUAUUCCAUUCAGGUAAAGGAUAUUGUCAGAGUCCAACUCCAAGCAAUGUGAUGUCUAUCAGACCACUCAUGCUAGCUGACCUUCUACAACAGAAAUGGGAGACUUUGGCCUUACAUGUGAUGUAUUGUUGUGCUCACAUACUUCAGUUUUGGGUGUUGGCUAUGACAAACAGUAGUCUGUCAAAUAAUAUUUGACUAGUGAGGAGCCAAAGCGUUUGGCCUUGGGUCCAGAGUUUUUCAACUUCUAAAUAAAUGAUUUGGAUGAUGGAAUAGACAGUAUGCUUAUCACAUUUGCAGAUGACACCAGAUGAAGGGAGAGAAAGUGCUCCAGGGUACAGGAUCAGAACUCAAAAUGAUCUUUACAGAUUAGAGAGCGGGGUCAAAACUAACAAAAUGAACUUCAACAAGGAUAAAUGUAAGGCACAAAUAUGGGAUUGUGACACUUGGCUUGAUAGCAAUACAUGUAAAAAAGAUUUAAGGAUCUUAGAGAUGAUAAGUUAAACAUGAAUCAACAAUGUGAUGCAUUGGACAAACAAUCAAUUUCUAUACUCAACAGGAAUAUACAGUGUUCCCUCACUUAUUGCGGGUGUUACGUUCCAGGACCACCCGCGAAAAGUGAAAAUCCAUGAAAUAGGGACGUAAUAUUUAUUUUAAUAUUUAUACCUUUUUUUAGUAGUUAGGUGGCCUUUCUCCCCUGCGCAAGCCCCAGAGAGGCUUGCGGGCCCUUUUGCACUGUUUGUUCCCUACUGGCGCCAGUGGACCCCUUGCUCUUCUUCUUCCUGUGCUUCUUCUUGGCACCCUCUUACCCACCAGCUCCCACUGCGCCAUCCCUCUUGUUGGCAUCCAGAGUUGCCUGGCUGGAGCGGCAUUCCUUUCUUCCCUGGCUGUAGUAGCAGAGGCAGCCAGAGUAAUAUGGCAGGCACGGAGCAAGGGGCAGCCUUGAGGAGGAGAAGCAGCAGCAACACCUCAACAGAGAGCUGCCCCUGGAUGCCGACGAGAGGAAGGGUGCAUGCACAAAAGGGAAACUGGCAGGCGCUGCCACUCUGAGAAAAACCACGAAAUAGCGAGUCUGCAAAAAGGGAACCGCAAAGUAGCAAGGGAACACUCUAAUUCCAAUUCAAGGGAAGUAAUAGAACUACCCUAUUCUGUUUUGAUCAACCCUCACCUGGGAUAUUGUGACCGGUUGUGAGUACCAUGGUUCAAGAAGGAUAUUGACAAUUUGUAAUGUAUCCAGAUGAGAAUGAUCAUGAUUAUGGAAGACAAUCGUCCUCGAGCUACGAGGGAUCGCCUAAGUAAGUAAGAUCACUAUUAUAUUAUAGCUGCUGUUCUUCAAUAUCUGAAGGUAUAUUAUGUGAAAGGUGGAGUGAAGUUGGUUUCUGCUUCUUCAGAGACAAGAACAUAUAUCAGUGGAUGCAAAAUUACAAGAAGAGAUAUUACACCUAAACAUUAGGAAGAACUUUUCAGGAGUGGAACAUACAGCUUUGGAGAAUGGCAAACAUUCCUUCCUUUUUAUGCAGAGGCUGGAUAACUUUCUCUCAAUAGUGCUAUAGUUGUGUAUUCCUGUGUGGUCCGUAUUUAACUAGAUGAUGCUUGGGAUCCCUUCCAACUCCAAGAAUAUAUGAAAGUGGGGAUUUUAAGAACAUAUAUUGCCCAUCUUUCCACUGUAGUGAGAUGAGGACAUAAUCUUCAGUCUAUCCCAUAUGUUCUUCAAACAGAGCCACUUCCCAUCUUGCUCAGGAGUCUUCUCCAAAACUCUGGAACAGAUUUUCAAAUGUCACAGAAUGUUACAGCAGAAAGAGAAAAUUACCAAAGCUCUCCCCUUUUGAUCCAAAAAGUACCCUGUUAGACAACACAAUAUCCACCCUCCAUCUUUAAUAAUACUAUGUAUCAAUUUGAUAACAGGUUUAGGUGAACAGUACUGUAAUUUUCUGAUUUCUGCACCCCAAAUCAAAAACCAUUUAAAAAUAUUAUUACAUUAUGUUAUGGCCUUAUAUAUGUUCAUGCAGUUAUUGCUUGAGAACAAUAAUGAAUAACCCCCCCUUUUCCUAGAGUAAAGAUGAAAAAGAAAACACAUGGAAAAACAGGAAUAUUAUCAUAUCUAUAUAAAAUCAAAAACACUACAUUAAGAAGCGUUGCAUGAAAUAAUCCAAAAGCAGACCAGCUAGCAGCCUUGCAUGGUGAAGCAUCAUCUAACUGUAUUCUUCUUACUAGAAGCAAUUAUGUAGAAAUAACACUAAUAAAUGAAACUAUUAAAGGCACAAUGUGAGUCAAUAAGAAUUAAAGCAGACCAGAACUAGUUUUAAGGAUCAUGAAAAAGUUUGUGUUACUGCUAUUGAUCAAUAUUACUUACUUACUGUUUAGAAAAGUUCGGUUCUGUUAUUGAGGUCCUCCCCCCACCCACCCCAAAGGAUUUAUAGUUCACUAAGCGACCAUCAAUAGAUACAUGCUUUUGAGAGGUUACCUCACAACAUCUGAGGAUGCCUGCUAUAGAUGCAGGCAAAACAUCAGGAAAGAAUGCUUCUGGAACAUGGCCAUACAGCCCGGAAAAAUCACAGCAACCCAAUAGAUCAGUGGUUCUCAACCUGGGUUCCCCAGAUGUUUUUGGCCUACAACUCCCAAAAGUCCCAGCCAGUUUGCCAGCUAUUAAAUUUCUGGGAGUUGAAGGCCAAAAACAUCUCAGGAUCCCAGACUGAGAACCACUGCAAUAGAUAGAUAUAUAUAUAUAUUUCCUUUUCUUAAAAACCUUUCCCAGAGGUUCAGAGUUGAACAAGUUCUAAGCUUUAGAACAGUGUUCCUCAAACUAUGCUCCCCCAGGUGUUUUGGACUUCAGCUCCCAGAAUUCCUAACAGCUGGUAAGUUGGCUGGGAUUUCUGGAAGCUGAAGUCUAAAACACCUGGAGGAACACAGUUUGAGAAAUAUUGCCUUAGGAGAUUGGGAAUAAACCCAGCAGCAGCCAUACCCUCAUGAAUAUUGUGCCUAAACUUUUAAUAAACUGUAUCAGUGUGGUGCAGUGUGUUAAAGCACUGAGCUGAUGAACUUGCAGACCGAAAAGUUGCAGGUUCAAAUCCGGGGAACGGGGUGAGUGCCUGCUGUUAGCUCCAGCUUCUGCCAACCAAGCAGUUCGAAAACAUGCAAAUGUGAAUAGAUCAAUAGGUCUCUGGCGGAAAGGUAACAGAGCUCCAUGCAGUCAUGCCAGCCACAUGACUUUGGAGGUGUCUACGGACAAUGCCGGCUCUUCGGCUUAGAAAUGGAGAUGAGCACCAACCCCUCCAGAGUCAGACACGACUGGACUUAACGUGUCAAAGACAGAACGCCACAAGAUAAAAGAUAACAGAGUUUAUUGGAGUUACAGAACCAAAAAUGCCCGUAAAAGACAAGGGCUAGGCAAACACUGGCCUUAAAAGUAAAAGAGACAAGAAAAACGUUCAAAAGAUAAACCGGAUUAAACCGGAGUUUAAUCUGGGUUAAAUCAAAACAGCUUGCUUCAGCCUGGGAAUAAACAAAACAGAAGCUGGUGAACAAAGAGUUCAAAGGAAUGCAACUAAUUGGCAGCAGAUGCUUCUCUGCUGCCAAGAGCUAUGUUUGAGUAACUUAGAGGUUACUCCUCCACACAGCAGGCAAAUUCCCGAUACAAACACAGCAGACGAGGGCAGAAGCAGUCAGCGAAGUCCCAAUCCGUUCCAAAGGUCGUAAGGUAGAUGCAGACGUUUGUAGUUCACCAGUUCCAACGAUAGACACAGGUAGGAGAAUCCGAGGCCGUAGUCAGUCAGUCCGUAAGUCCAGAACAAGCAGAUGGCGUCCGUCAAGAAGACGACGGAAGGUCAAAGGUAGUCAGCAAACGAAUCACACCUGUCUUCAGGAAAACUUCCCACACAGAUCCCAAGCGUUCGUCCAGAUUACCUUGCCCAACGCAAUUUGCUAUUGCUCCCAAACCCCAUUUUAUGCCAGUUACAAGUCCUCAUCGCUAUCAGCUGUCCUCCUUAGCCCGGGCGUUUCCUCAUCACUUUCCUCAUCAGAACUGGAACACCUUUGACUACGCCCCACAGCAUCCCCAGCUGUGGAUCCCGUCCCAUCCCUCCAGCUUGUCCACGGGUCUAAUCCUGAAGGUCCCCAAUCGCCUUCCAUACUAUCAUUGCCAGUGGCACCCAAAUCCUCCCUUACACGAGUCCAUUCCAUGUCAUCCUCUUCCGAGCUAACCAUCUCUUCCUCCAUUCCCUCAGUAAACCCUUCAAAAGAAUCCUCAUCAGAUGGUUCUGCAAAGAUAUCUCGCAGCCGCUUCCUUUCUCGCUCCUCAAGAGUAUCUGACUCUCGAGGAGUCUUACGCCCACGUCUCCCAGUAGCAGAGCCAUGAGGCUCAACCAUAACAUAACGUCAGGGGAAACCUUUACCUUUAUCUAUCUUUCAAACUGUGUACUGUUAUCUUUUUAUUAUAUGAAAGGUAUAUAAACUCUAUCAAAAUGUAGCCUAGAGACAGCCACCCCUCUGUAACCCUGUUCAGAUAAUCUCCUGGGAAUAGAAAAGGUUGGGUAAAUCCCUCUGGCUAUUUCCAAGCCAGGUAAUUAUCAGAUUCCUUGUUUGAAUGCGUAGACAUAUGAUUUCCUUUGCCAGCCAGAUAAGCCCAAAAUGUUUAUACAAUUCACAUGAAACUGAGAAUCUGCUGCUUAUGUGCAUUCAAUAACCAUUGUUUUCCCUGGAUUGCACCCUUUCAGGGGGUGUCUCUACAACUGAUUGAUCAUCCGCUCUGACCAAUCCCCGUCUGCCAUUCUCCCUGCCAAGGAAAUCCCCAGUGACAUCAACUGAACUCUCAGCCAAUCCCGGUGAAGAUUGGGUGAAGAUUCCUGACCAGCCUCUUUGCCAACCAAUCAGGGGAGGGAGCAGGAAUUCUGAAUGGUUUCAGAACUGUAUAUGAACUGUAUAAGAUGUCUUGCAUUUCUCUCUAUCUUUAUCCUUGCACCUUUGGAAGCAAAUUGCUUUUACUUGCAUACCUUUUGGCCGAAUCGUAAUAAACCUCUGUGGCUUGUCUUCAA